GAUGAACGCUGGCGGCGUGCCUAAUACAUGCAAGUCGAGCGAACAGACGAGGAGCUUGCUCCUCUGACGUUAGCGGCGGACGGGUGAGUAGCACGUGGAUAACCUACCUAUAAGACUGGGAUAACUUCGGGAAACCGGAGCUAAUACCGGAUAAUAUAUUGAACCGCAUGGUUCAAUAGUGAAAGACGGUUUUGCUGUCACUUAUAGAUGGAUCCGCGCCGCAUUAGCUAGUUGGUAAGGUAACGGCUUACCAAGGCAACGAUGCGUAGCCGACCUGAGAGGGUGAUCGGCCACACUGGAACUGAGACACGGUCCAGACUCCUACGGGAGGCAGCAGUAGGGAAUCUUCCGCAAUGGGCGAAAGCCUGACGGAGCAACGCCGCGUGAGUGAUGAAGGUCUUCGGAUCGUAAAACUCUGUUAUUAGGGAAGAACAAAUGUGUAAGUAACUAUGCACGUCUUGACGGUACCUAAUCAGAAAGCCACGGCCAACUACGUG
rnacentral:rRNA from 1 species